rnacentral:lncRNA from 1 species
GGGAGUUGUGGGUGAAGUUCGACUCCCGUAGGAGUCCGAACGAAGUUUACCUGUAAGUGAAGUCGUGGGUGGAGCCCGGCUCCCGUAGGAGUCCGAGCGAAGUCCUCCUGCAGCCGAAGUCAGGAACGAGGUCCGGCUCCCGUAGGAGUCCGGGGGAAGUCUUCCCGCAGCUGGAGCUGGAGACGAGAUCUGGCGCCCGUGGGAGUCCGGGCAGAGUC